UACACACCGCCCGUCACGUCAUGGAAGUUGGCAACACCUAAAGUCGUCGAGCUAACCGCAAGGAGGCAGACGCCCAAGGUGGGGCUGGUGACUGGGACG
rnacentral:rRNA from 1 species